rnacentral:rRNA from 1 species
AUUGAACGCUGGCGGCAUGCUUUACACAUGCAAGUCGAACGGUAACAGGCCUUCGGGCGCUGACGAGUGGCGAACGGGUGAGUAAUGCAUCGGAACGUGCCCAGUCGUGGGGGAUAACGCAGCGAAAGCUGUGCUAAUACCGCAUACGAUCUGCGGAUGAAAGCGGGGGACCUUCGGGCCUCGCGCGAUUGGAGCGGCCGAUGUCAGAUUAGGUAGUUGGUGGGGUAAAGGCUCACCAAGCCAACGAUCUGUAGCUGGUCUGAGAGGACGACCAGCCACACUGGGACUGAGACACGGCCCAGACUCCUACGGGAGGCAGCAGUGGGGAAUUUUGGACAAUGGGGGCAACCCUGAUCCAGCAAUGCCGCGUGAGUGAAGAAGGCCUUCGGGUUGUAAAGCUCUUUUGUCCGGGAAGAAAUCCCAUUUCCUAAUACGGGGUGGGGAUGACGGUACUGGAAGAAUAAGCACCGGCUAACUACGUGCCAGCAGCCGCAGUAAAAC